ACUCCUGCGGGAGGCAGCAGUGGGGAAUUUUGGACAAUGGGCGAAAGCCUGAUCCAGCAAUGCCGCGUGUGUGAAGAAGGCCUUCGGGUUGUAAAGCACUUUUGUCCGGAAAGAAAUCCUUGGCUCUAAUACAGUCGGGGGAUGACGGUACCGGAAGAAUAAGCACCGGCUAACUACGUGCCAGCAGCCGCGGUAAUACGUAGGGUGCGAGCGUUAAUCGGAAUUACUGGGCGUAAAGCGUGCGCAGGCGGUUUGCUAAGACCGAUGUGAAAUCCCCGGGCUCAACCUGGGAACUGCAUUGGUGACUGGCAGGCUAGAGUAUGGCAGAGGGGGGUAGAAUUCCACGUGUAGCAGUGAAAUGCGUAGAGAUGUGGAGGAAUACCGAUGGCGAAGGCAGCCCCUUGGGCCAAUACUGACGCUCAUGCACGAAAGCGUGGGGAGCAAACAGGAUUAGAAACCCUAGUAGUCCCAUG
rnacentral:rRNA from 1 species